GACGAACGCUGGCGGCGUGCCUAAUACAUGCCAGUUGAGCGCUGAAGGUUGGUACUUGUACCAACUGGAUGAGCAGCGAACGGGUGAGUAACGCGUGGGGAAUCUGCCUUUGAGCGGGGGACAACAUUUGGAAACGAAUGCUAAUACCGCAUAAAAACUUUAAACACAAGUUUUAAGUUUGAAAGAUGCAAUUGCAUCACUCAAAGAUGAUCCCGCGUUGUAUUAGCUAGUUGGUGAGGUAAAGGCUCACCAAGGCGAUGAUACAUAGCCGACCUGAGAGGGUGAUCGGCCACAUUGGGACGGAGACACGGCCCAAACUCCUACGGGAGGCAGCAGUAGGGAAUCUUCGGCAAUGGACGAAAGUCUGACCGAGCAACGCCGCGUGAGUGAAGAAGGUUUUCGGAUCGUAAAACUCUGUUGGUAGAGAAGAACGUUGGUGAGAGUGGAAAGCUCAUCAAGUGACGGUAACUACCCAGAAAGGGACGGCUAACUACGUG
rnacentral:rRNA from 1 species